CACGUAGGGCGCAAGCGUUGUCCGGAAUUAUUGGGCGUAAAGCGCUCGUAGGCGGUUUGUUGCGUCGGCUGUGAAAUCCCGAGGCUCAACCUCGGGUCUGCAGUCGAUACGAGCAAACUAGAGUGUUGCAGGGGAGACUGGAAUUCCUGGUGUAGCGGUGAAAUGCGCAGAUAUCAGGAGGAACACCGGUGGCGAAGGCGGGUCUCUGGGCAACAACUGACGCUGAGGAGCGAAAGCGUGGGGAGCGAACAGG
rnacentral:rRNA from 1 species